UGGGCAUAGCUCUUGCCUUUGUAUUGGGGGAUAGCCUUUCCCGAAAGGGAGAUUAAUACCCCAUAAUAUACUGGAUGGCAUCAUCUGGUAUUGAAAACUCCGGUGGAUAGAGAUGGGCACGCGCAAGAUUAGAUAGUUGGUGAGGUAACGGCUCACCAAGUCAGCGAUCUUUAGGGGGCCUGAGAGGGUGAUCCCCCACACUGGUACUGAGACACGGACCACACUAAUACGGGAGGCAGCAGUGAGGAAUAUUGGACAAUGGGUGAGAGCCUGAUCCAGCCAUCCCGCGUGAAGGACGACGGCCCUAUGGGUUGUAAACUUCUUUUGUAUAGGGAUAAACCUAGAUACGUGUAUCUAGCUGAAGGUACUAUACGAAUAAGCACCGGCUAACUCCGUGCCAGCAGCCGCGGUAAUACGGAGGGUGCAAGCGUUAUCCGGGAUUUAUUGGGUUUAAAGGGUCCGUAGGCUGAUUUGUAAGUCAGUGGUGAAAUCUCACAGCUUAACUGUGAAACUGCCAUUGAUACUGCAAGUCUUGAGUGUUGUUGAAGUAGCUGGAAUAAGUAGUGUAGCGGUGAAAUGCAUAGAUAUUACUUAGAACACCAAUUGCGAAGGCAGGUUACUAAGCAACAACUGACGCUGAUGGACGAAAGCGUGGGGAGCGAACAGGAUUAGAUACCCUGGUAGUCCACGCCGUAAACGAUGCUAACUCGUUUUUGGGUUUUCGGAUUCAGAGACUAAGCGAAAGUGAUAAGUUAGCCACCUGGGGAGUACGAACGCAAGUUUGAAACUCAAAGGAAUUGACGGGGGCCCGCACAAGCGGUGGAUUAUGUGGUUUAAUUCGAUGAUACGCGAGGAACCUUACCAAGGCUUAAAUGGGAAAUGACAGGUUUAGAAAUAGACUUUUCUUCGGACAUUUUUCAAGGUGCUGCAUGGUUGUCGUCAGCUCGUGCCGUGAGGUGUUAAGUUAAGUCCUGCAACGAGCGCAACCCCUGUCACUAGUUGCCAUCAUUAAGUUGGGGACUCUAGUGAGACUGCCUACGCAAGUAGAGAGGAAGGUGGGGAUGACGUCAAAUCAUCACGGCCCUUACGCCUUGGGCCACACACGUAAUACAAUGGCCGGUACAGAGGGCAGCUACACAGCGAUGUGAUGCAAAUCUCGAAAGCCGGUCUCAGUUCGGAUUGGAGUCUGCAACUCGACUCUAUGAAGCUGGAAUCGCUAGUAAUCGCGCAUCAGCCAUGGCGCGGUGAAUACGUUCCCGGGCCUUGUACACACCGCCCGUCAAGCCAUGGAAGUCUGGGGUACCUGAAGUCGGUGACCGUAACAGGAAGG
rnacentral:rRNA from 1 species